rnacentral:rRNA from 1 species
UCGGGAAUUUUGGGCAAUGGGCGAAAGCCUGACCCAGCAACGCCGCGUGAAGGAUGAAGUAUUUCGGUAUGUAAACUUCGUAAGAAUAGGAAGAAUAAAUGACGGUACUAUUUGUAAGGUCCGGCUAACUACGUGCCAGCAGCCGCGGUAAUACGUAGGGACCAAGCGUUGUUCGGAUUUACUGGGCGUAAAGGGUGCGUAGGCGGCAUAUCAAGUCACUUGUGAAAUCUCCGGGCUUAACUCGGAACUGCCAAGUGAUACUGAUGUGCUAGAGUGCAGAAAGGGCAACUGGAAUUCUUGGUGUAGCGGUGAAAUGCGUAGAUAUCAAGAGGAACACCUGAGGCGAAGGCGAGUUGCUAGGCUGACACUGACGCUGAGGUACGAAAGCUAGGGGAGCGAACGGGAUUAGAUACCCCAGUAGUCCCUGAGCGGGCUGGCAAGGCGCAU